UACAGAGGGUGCAAGCGUUGUUCGGAAUUAUUGGGCGUAAAGCGCGUGUAGGCGGCUUAGCAAGUCGGGCGUGAAAGCCCUCGGCUCAACCGAGGAAGUGCACCCGAAACUGCUGAGCUUGAGUGCCGGAGAGGAUGGCGGAAUUCCCCAAGUAGAGGUGAAAUUCGUAGAUAUGGGGAGGAACACCGGUGGCGAAGGCGGCCAUCUGGACGGUAACUGACGCUGAGACGCGAAAGCGUGGGGAGCAAACGGG
rnacentral:rRNA from 1 species